rnacentral:tRNA from 1 species
UGGGGGAUCGUUCAACGGUAGGACAGCUGACUCUGGAUCAGCCGAUCGGGGUUCGAAUCCCUGUCCCCCAGCCA